AGUGGAAUAACUGGGUCAAAUGGUGGUCCCAUUUCAAGUUUUCUGAGGGAUGUCCACACUGUUUUCAAGAGUGUUUGUACCAAUUUGCAGUCCCACCAGCAAG
rnacentral:pre_miRNA from 1 species